UCCUGGUUAACCCAGGCAGUCUCGUUAGAGUUCCCACCAUUACGUGCUGGCAACUAACGAUAAGGGUUGCGCUCGUUGCGGGACUUAACCCAACACCUCACGGCACGAGCUGACGACAGCCAUGCAGCACCUGUGCAAAGGCUCCGAAGAGAAUUGCCAUUUCUGACAACGUCCUCUGCAUGUCAAGACUGGGUAAGGUUCUUCGCGUUGCAUCGAAUUAAACCACAUGCUCCACUGCUUGUGCGGGUCCCCGUCAAUUCUUUUGAGUUUCACCCUUGCGAGCGUACUCCCCAGGCGGUAUACUUAUCGCGUUAGCUUCGGCACAACCAGGGUUGAGUCCGGUUACACCAAGUAUACAUCGUUUACGGCAAGGACUAC
rnacentral:misc_RNA from 1 species